AAUUAAUAAAUUAUUAUAUUUAUAAUUUUUGUAUUUUUAAAAUAAGUAGAUUGGGGUUUAAUUAUUGUGUCAGAAAAAAUUUUUCUAUGAUAGCUUAUUAGUACCGUGAGGGAAUUUUAAUAAUUAGGGAGAAGAAGAUUUAAUUGGUCGUACCUUGGGUAUCAGGGUUUACUAAAUAAUUUUUUCGAACAGAAAUUUUCUCGAAUUUAAAAGAGCUAACUAUUUAUAUAUUUUAUUGUUGAAUAAAUACUUAAAAUUAAUGGUUAGAGGUGAAACGUCAUUCGUUUUUAAAUAUAUCUAGUUUUUUAAGAAAUAGAUUUAAUCUACCUGGUUGUUAAUUAAUAAUUUUAUUUUAAUAAAUUUUUUUUAUUACCGAGGAAUAUUUUAGGGGAUGAGCUUUAAAAUAAAGCUUUAAAAAUUAAUAAUAAAUAGGUUAGAAAUAAAUAGGAUUAGAAAUUUCCAUUUUUUAAAGGGUGUCAUAGCUUUACUCAUUUACAUUGUUAUUUUUAUUAAUUUUAAAUUUUUUUUAAAAUAAUAGCUUUAAUUUUUAAUGUUUAGCUAUAAUGGUAAAAUUAGUAUAUACUUUUUGUUUAAAAACUGAACUUUCUAAGGUUAACAAAAGGAACUCGGCAAAGGAUUUUUCACCUGUUUAUUAAAAACAUGUCCUUUCGAUUAUAAUUUAAGGUCUAGCCUGCCCACUGAAGCAUUAAAUGGCCGCGGUAAUUUGACCGUGCAAAGGUAGCAUAAUAAUUAGUUUUUUAAUUGAAAGCUAGAAUGAAUGGUUGGAUGAGAAAAUAACUGUCUCUUGUUAAUUAAAAGUUAGAAUUUUAUAUUUAAGUAAAAAAGCUUAAAUGAUAUUGAAAGACGAGAAGACCCUAUAGAAUUUAAUUAGUCUAUUUUUUUAUAUUUAUUAGAAUCUUAACUUAUAAUAAUUUGGGCUAAUUUGGUUGGGGUGACUGAAAAAUUAAAUAAACUUUUUUUUUAUUGUUACACUAAUAUGUGAUUAAUUGAUCCAGUUUUACUGAUUAAAAGAAAUAAUUACCUUAGGGAUAACAGCGUAAUUUCUUUUGAGAGUUCUAAUCGAAAAGGGAGUUUGCGACCUCGAUGUUGGAUUAAAAUAAAGUUCUGGUGUAGAAGCUAGGAGCUUAGGUCUGUUCGACCUUUAAAAUUUUACAUGAUCUGAGUUUAGACCGGCGUGAGCCAGGUCGGUUUCUAUCUUCAAUAUGAUAAAAUAUUUUAGUACGAAAGGACCAAAUAUUUAAUAAAUUAUUUUUUUUAUUGAAUACUAGU
rnacentral:rRNA from 1 species